rnacentral:lncRNA from 1 species
CAGGCGGCUGGGCGGCCAUGGAGUCCGAACGCCCUCCGGGCCGGGUUCGGGCCGCGAGCGCCCCCCGCCCACGCCGCCGGCCUGGGACCCUGUGGCUAUGGCCGCUUCAAACCCGCGUUCGAUGAAGGCCGAGGCGCGGUGGCCGAACGCGGAAGGCCUGUGCCAGCGCGCCGUGCGCGCGCCAGUCCCCGCGCCGCCGCAGGGCCCGCCCGUGGGCAGCGGUGUUGCGGGCUUGGAGUUUCCGCUGCCGCAGGAGCCGCAGGCCGCGAACCCAGGGACUCCAGGGACUUGGGCGGGGGCCGUGGCGGGGCGGCGGACGCCUUCGGCGCAAAUCCCCGUACCAGCGCAGAGAGCCCCCCCAGGAAAAGCACGGUUGGACGAGGUCAUGGCUGCGGCAGCCCUAACAAGCCUGUCCACCAGCCCCCUCUGUCUGGAGGCCCCAGCUACAGCCUUCAGCCCAGAGCCCAGCCCAGAUGUGUGGAAGGAAGGUCUAGCACGGCCACCAGGCAGUUACAGCAGCAGCAGUAACAGUGGCGACUGGGGCUGGGACCUGGCCAGUGACCAGUCCUCUCCAUCCACCCCAUCGCCUCCACUGCCCCCCGAGACAGCCCACUUUCUGUUUGGGGAGCCUACCCUGAGGAAGAGGAAGAGCUCGGUCCAGGUCAUGUUCCAGUGCCUGUGGAAGAACUGUGGAAAGGUGCUGAGCACGGCUUCUGGGAUGCAGAGACACAUCCGCCUGGUGCACCUGGGCAGACAGGCGGAGCCAGAGCAGAGCGACGGUGAAGAGGACUUCUACUACACAGAGCUGGACGUCGGUGUGGACGCACUAACCAAUGGGCUGUCCAGUCUGACUCCCAUGACCCCCACAGCCACAGUGCCACCGGCCUUCCCCCAUCUGGAGCUGCAGAGCUGCUCAAGCCCCCAGCUCUACCCAGUCUGCUGCAGCCCUGACUUGGCCCUGGCCCCGCCCCCCAUGCUCAACUCUGUAGCUCCCCAACAGGUGUGCCACAGUGACCAUGCCCACCAGGACUUGGUGGCACCCAUCCACCUGGAGCUUCGGGCCACUGAAGUCCGAGCCUGUACACCAGCCUUGCCCUCUAAGCUUGGUGCCAACCUAAGGAAGCCCCGUGGUGAUGCCAAGAAGUGCCGGAAGGUGUAUGGCAUGGACCACCGGGACCUGUGGUGCACAGCCUGCCGCUGGAAGAAAGCCUGCCAGCGGUUCCUUGACUGAGCCCCACCCACUGGUGUUGCUGCACAGCCCAAGGCUGGGCAACCCUGGGAGUGCCCCAGGUCCAGGCCUGUUUAGGCUGUCGCGUCUGCUUUCUCCUUUGGGAGGGACUGGGUAGUUGUUGAUCCUGGACUUCCAGAGCUGUGGGCGGGGUCCAGCCACUCAAAGUGCCUCUGAAGAAACCAGCUUUUUGCACUAAAGAUAAACCAUACUGCUGCCCUCUUGGCCCCAGGGGCACUGCCCUUCCUCCCUGCUACCCCACAGCUCUGUCAAGGAUGUCAGUGGGGCCAGUCUGAGAUGCACUUUGAGGGGUGUCAGGAAGGGAACUCUCCCACCCGCACAUUUGUGAUGGCUUCGGGCCCUGGGGCUGAUGUUUUACCACGUUCUUGAAGCUCAGGUGUCUCACGUCUGGGCCCUACCAG